rnacentral:rRNA from 1 species
UACGUAGGGCGCAAGCGUUGUCCGGAAUUAUUGGGCGUAAAGAGCUCGUAGGCGGUUUGUUGCGUCGGCUGUGAAAUCCCGAGGCUCAACCUCGGGUCUGCAGUCGAUACGAGCAAACUAGAGUGUUGCAGGGGAGACUGGAAUUCCUGGUGUAGCGGUGAAAUGCGCAGAUAUCAGGAGGAACACCGGUGGCGAAGGCGGGUCUCUGGGCAACAACUGACGCUGAGGAGCGAAAGCGUGGGGAGCGAACGGG